CUAUUCAUUUUUUAAAUGUACAUGCAGAAGCAGAUAAAUAAUCCCCAUACAACAAUUCAAUGGGAUAGAAAAGUAGGGCCAAUUUUUCAAAUCAAAACAAACCUUUUAUAAACAACCAAGUUUAUUUACAAGACCAAACUAUUUACAAAAAGGUCGGCUCAUUCCAAAAUGAACUGUCCUAUGACCUACUAGUUAGACCCGUUCGCCGAUUCUAGUCUAUCCACCUUUCCAAACUCCAAGGCUUCCGGUUCUCCACCAAUAUCAUCUAAGGACCUGAAAAUGGUUAUACAAUAACUAGUGAGACAACGUCUUAAUAAGUUCAACUUCCUAAGCUUUGAUUAGGAAGAAAAUACGUCAUAAGGGCUGCCUAAAUACAAUCAGACGUCAGAGGACUUACCUUGGCCUUAAUUCCUUCCUGUAAAUUAGUUUAAUUCAUAAUUACUGACAAACCACAUCAUUCAGUCAAUUCGGAUCGACUCAGCGAUCAAUCGACUCAGUCGAUUAUAUAUCAUUAAGACCAUCACACGGUCAUUUCGAUUAUUCAUUCUCGACUCUUAUUCGCGGCCUAACAGACAUUGAUCUAGAUUAAGUGGUAAUCAUGGCCCCAUCGAGCAAUUUUCAAGAUUUAGUGGUAAUCAUGGUCCCACCGAGCAAUUUUCUAGAUUUGGUGGUAAUCACGGCCCCACCGAGCAAUUUUCUAGAUUUGGUGGUAAUUACGGCCCUACUGAGCAAUUUUCUAGAUUUGGCACCAAAGUUGUCCAUUUACCCACAAUCACUACUCACACUCAAAUUGCACAAUAUGGUACUCAAUUAAAUAAACAGAAAGCACCAUUGUAAUCAACACGAAAUUUCAAUUACCGAUUAUCCCAGUUGAAUUUUCGGAAAAUAAAUAAAUAAAUAAAUAAUUACGGAAAUUAAUAAAUAAAUGCAAUAAAUAUGACUUAGGCCCGAUAAAGCCUAAUUGGAAGCCGAGACGGUCCCGGAAAAUUCCCGAACCAGUCUAGAUAAAUACUAGAGUUUGUCUAUGCUUUAAUUGCACUAAACUAUCCACCUAACAUGCAUCAAUUAAUUAAAUUAACUAAUCAAUUCUAACUAACCACCUAAUCCUAGCUUAGUCUAAACUAAUAAACCCUUAAGCAUAAUUAAUUUACUAAGUGAGGAAUAGUAAGUUAAACUCACCGGUUUGGUGUGAAGACCGGUUCACCGCGACGGCGGCGUGACAGCGGCCGAAACUUGAAUUGCGGCGGCACCAAUGGGCUUGGACCGGGCUUUAAAUUAGCCCAACAAAUCUCAACCCAAGCUGAGAUUUGUUCUUGAGUUGGGCUGGGCUUGCUUUGUGGGCUUGAGCUGCUGAACCUGCGGGCUGAACUUUGGAGGUGGGAUGAAUUCGCUGGGCUUCAAAACUGGACUGGGCUUGAUUGCAAGUGGCUGAAGAUGGGCUAAAGAAAACUUGCGGGCUCGAAACUGGGCUGAACCAAGGCUGACGAUGGGCUUCAAAUUGCUGGGCCGACGUUCAAUGGGAGGCAACAGUCAACUUCGGGCAGCCUGCUGGCGUCGAGCUGGGGGAGACCGAAGCAGCUGGUCUUCGAGAAAUGAAGACCGAUGCUGCUGAAGAACUUGAUCUGCUGAAGACACGCUCAAGACAGCUGCUGGCAGAAGGAGUGAAGAAGCCACGGAGAUGGGCUCACGUGCAAGUGGGCCGAAGAUGCUGGGGAAAUCUGCCGAGGAGUCAGCGUGAAGAUGGGCAGGGAAGAGUGUUCGGUGGAAGCUGCAGGUUGACCAAAGGAGACAAACGUUGGUGGACUUGGACGUGGCAGAGCCGAGAUCACUUCGAUUGAGAGAAAACAAACGAAAUUGGGGCAGCUUCGAUCUUCGUGGCAGCUUGCAGAAGGAUCGGUGGAGGAAUGGCCGCACGAAAGAGAGAAAGGCGAGGGAAAUAAAAGUGAAACUAAAAGCAGGAGGGGUCGAGGAAAUGGAAUGCACGAAGGAGAGAGAGAGAGAGGACGGAUGAGGGAGAGAGAUUGAGCAAAAGUCAAUAUAAAAUAUCUAAAU
rnacentral:lncRNA from 1 species